GGAGUUAGCCGGUGCUUCUUCUGUGAGUGAUGUCCUUCCUGCCGGCUAUUAACCCGCAGGCCUUCUUCCUCACUGAAAGUGCUUUACAACCCGAAGGCCUUCUUCACACACGCGGCAUGGCUGGAUCAGGGUUGCCCCCAUUGUCCAAUAUUCCCCACUGCUGCCUCCCGUAGGAGUCUGGGCCGUGUCUCAGUCCCAGUGUGGCUGAUCAUCCUCUCAGACCAGCUACGGAUCGUCGCCUUGGUGAGCCGUUACCUCACCAACCAGCUAAUCCGACAUAGGCUCAUCCGAUAGCGCGAGGCCCGAAGGUCCCCCGCUUUCCCCCGUAGGGCGUAUGCGGUAUUAGCCUGGGUUUCCCCAGGUUAUCCCCCACUACCGGGCAGAUUCCUAUGCAUUACUCACCCGUCCGCCGCUCGCCACCAGGGAGCAAGCUCCCCGUGCUGCCGCUCGACUUGCAUGUGUUAGGCCUGCCGCCAGCGUUCAAUCUGAGCCAGAAUCGAACCCCUGA
rnacentral:rRNA from 1 species